UACGAAGGGGGCGAGCGUUGUUCGGAUUUACUGGGCGUAAAGGGCGCGUAGGCGGCCCUCUUUGUCGCGUGUGAAAGCCCCGGGCUCAACCUGGGAAUGGCGCGCGAAACGGGGGGGCUGGAGUUCGGGAGAGGAGCGUGGAAUUCCCAGUGUAGAGGUGAAAUUCGUAGAUAUUGGGAAGAACACCGGUGGCGAAGGCGGCGCUCUGGACCGAGACUGACGCUGAGGCGCGAAGGCCAGGGGAGCAAACGGG
rnacentral:rRNA from 1 species